UCUUUCCUGUCCGGUGCGUGGCCGGCUACAUAGAGAUUUUGGCCAACAAAAUUACAAUGGGAGCCUAACUUCGGUUUUCCUUCGGGAUUACCGGGAGGGCACCCACCUGGGAAACUGGGACCAAAUCUCUCGCCGACUACGGCCGGAUGGGGCUAAU
rnacentral:other from 1 species